rnacentral:lncRNA from 1 species
GGUGAAUCUCAAGCUGGGAAAUCCGGAAAACAUAUAAGGAGAAGAGAGAAGUGGGGCUCCUGCAGGUCUGGAAGCGAUGAGUAAGAAGAAAAGGGGGUAAAGGAAUCGAGGCUAAUGGACACCUGUACCAUACAACCGGGGACAUAAAUUUGUUUUCCAUCCUCAUCUGGGGCUCCUUAUUUUCCAACUCCCCCAACCACCUCGAGCUCAGGGGCGUAGAAAGAAGAGGAGAUCGACCCUGCCAGGCGCUAGCCAGGGCAAGCAGUGAAGGAGUUAAGGCAGGAUUGGGGGAAGGCCGACCGGCAGAAGGGAGCAUGUGCAGUCUGCAACCGCUUCCAUACUAUGGCCCCGGUUUGCAGUCCUGCCAGAACCCUGAGGACUAUGGGUUGUGCUGUGCCUCAUGCAUCAGUGACAAAAUUGUCCUCUGAGCUCUGUACCUGUAACAGAGUCAGAUGUCAUCGGCAGAAAGAUCCCAUCUUGGACUCCUGCUCCCUUAGCCAGCUGUCCUAGUAUUCUGAAAUGAAGAAACUGAGAAGAGAAAAUGACUUACUCAAGGUCACAGCACCAGGAGGCAUGCCCUUUCUGUGCCUGCAGAUUAUAUUUGGCCAUCUCAAAAGUACCAGCUUUGCUGUUUUGCCUGUGGCACACACUGAAUUGUCUAAGCCUGAAGACUGGAAAGAGGAAGGGCAGAGGUAUCUUUGAGGUAGUGUUGGGGUCAAUUUCCAAGGGAAAGAGAAUGGAGAAAAAAGUUUG